GUCCGGCCAGGGCCGCACUGGACUGUGGGGCGCCGCGGCGCAGCGAACCGGAGGCGGUUGGGAGGCGGGAAGUGAGUUUUGUUGGGGAGCCGAAGGCCGAGAGCCAGCUGCCUUCAGCGUCUGCAGGCUGGGGCAAACGUACUGAGAGCUUAGGGCGCAGGAGUUUUAGGAGUCCGGAAAGCGGGCUGCGGACUCCUGCAUGGAUCUUUGGUUUGAGCCCUGGAUGUGGCCUUAUUCGUGUUUCCCCGCCAGGACGGUUUCUCGCCGUUUUCCCCUCAAGUUGGUGGGGUUUGGACCUUAUUAGUUUUAAGGGUCCGCUGUGUGUAAGCAUUGGUUGUCCUGCGCAGGGCGCUGUUAGGUAGCUGGGCGAAGGAGGGGUUAGAGAUGCGUGAGGUAUGGUCCUUACGUGGAAUGUUGGAGAUAAACCUAGUUUUCUUGGAUGUGCAAAGAGGGUCUUGGGCUACUGUUACAUAAUACAAGGACGUGAAAUGCAAUGAUGCGAUGAUGAGUGAAGUAUAGUCUGACCUGGUAUUGCCAUUGCUUCAGUGUUGGCUUUGACCAGGGGAUGAUCCCUUAAUCUUCUCUCUGAGCUGAUUCUGGUUGUGGUUUUUCUACACUGGUGAAAAACCUGACUUUGAUAUCUUCCUGGAGGACUACGCUGUUUCAAUCCUAAAUCUGGUUCAGUUCCCUUACUGACUUAUACUAUAUUAAAAAUGUUUGUUUAAUUAA